UGGUGGGUUGCCUUGUCAGGUUGAUUCCGGUAACGAACGAGACCUCCGCCUGCUAAAUAGUCAACAUCGCACCUGCGGUGUGCCGACUUCUUAGAGGGACUAUUGGCGUUCAGCCAAUGGAAGUGGGAGGCGAUAACA
rnacentral:rRNA from 1 species